rnacentral:lncRNA from 10 species
UAGCCAUUCUGGAGGAGAAACAGACAGUUCUAAGAGUCAAGAAUUUAGACUGGGCACCAUAAAGGUGGAUUACUGCUGCUCUAUAGUGUCUGAGAUCUGAGCUGGAAAGAUUCAAAUGCCUGGAGGUGACUUGGUGACUAGUGCUGGAAUCUUCUGAAAGUUUCUUUUCUCAUGUAUCUAUUGCCUGUAUUGGAACCACUUGGAGGCUGGGCUCACCUGGGAUUGUCUACAGAGCAUGUACAUUUGGCCUUCCCAUGCAGCUUGGCUUUUUCACAACAUGGUGGCCCCAGGGGUAUCAGCCUUUCUCCAUGAAGGCUUAAGGAUGCAAGCAGAGGUGCUCUAGGGAACAAAGCUGAUGCUGCAAUGACUUUUAUGGCCCAACCUUGGAAGUCAUAAAACAUCAUUUAUGCCCCAUUCCACUGGUAGAAACAUUCACAAACCUGCCCAAGCAGAGGGAAGCUAGACUUUCCACGUGGCACGCAGGGUCAUGCUGAAGAAGAAGAUGUAGAAUGGAAAAUAUCGCUGUGGCAGUCUGGAAAAUAGAAUCUGCCACAGAGUAAAACCUGAAAGUGAUACAGCUUGUUCUGCUCCACAAAUGCUUCUGAGGGGUGAUGAAUAAGCAUGUGGAUGAAUAAGACUCAGUCCUUGAACUUGAGGAAUUCCCAAGGCAAAUGGGGGAGACGGAUAUGUAAAUAAAAACCAUACUGUACAUACUUCUACAGCAUGUAUCAUAUUAG